rnacentral:rRNA from 1 species
GAUGAACGCUGGCGGCGUGCCUAAUACAUGCAAGUCGAGCGGACGGACGAGAAGCUUGCUUCUCUGAUGUUAGCGGCGGACGGGUGAGUAACACGUGGAUAACCGACCUAUAAGACUGGGAUAACUUCGGGAAACCGGAGCUAAUACCGGAUGAUAUGUUGAACCGCAUGGUUCAAAAGUGAAAGGCGGUCUUGCUGUCACUUAUAGAUGGAUCCGCGCUGCAUUAGCUAGUUGGUAAGGUAACGGCUUACCAAGGCAACGAUGCAUAGCCGACCUGAGAGGGUGAUCGGCCACACUGGAACUGAGACACGGUCCAGACUCCUACGGGAGGCAGCAGUAGGGAAUCUUCCGCAAUGGGCGAAAGCCUGACGGAGCAACGCCGCGCGAGUGAUGAAGGUCUUCGGAUCGUAAAACUCUGUUAUUAGGGAAGAACAUAUGUGUAAGUAAAUGUGCACAUCUUGACGGUACCUAAUCAGAAAGCAACGGCUAACUACGUG